UACGUAGGGUGCGAGCGUUAAUCGGAAUUACUGGGCGUAAAGCGUGCGCAGGCGGCUUUUUAAGCCAGAUGUGAAAUCCCCGGGCUUAACCUGGGAACUGCAUUUGUGACUGCAAGGCUAGAGUGUAGCAGAGGGGGGUAGAAUUCCACGUGUAGCAGUGAAAUGCGUAGAUAUGUGGAGGAAUACCGAUGGCGAAGGCAGCCCCCUGGGCUAACACUGACGCUCAUGCACGAAAGCGUGGGGAGCAAACAGG
rnacentral:rRNA from 1 species